GAUGAACGCUGGCGGCGUGCUUAACACAUGCAAGUCGAACGAAGCACCUUGAUUUGAUUCUUCGGAUGAAGAUCUUGGUGACUGAGUGGCGGACGGGUGAGUAACGCGUGGGUAACCUGCCUCAUACAGGGGGAUAACAGUUAGAAAUGACUGCUAAUACCGCAUAAGACCACAGCACCGCAUGGUGCAGGGGUAAAAACUCCGGUGGUAUUAGAUGGACCCGCGUGUGAUUAGGUAGUUGGUGGGGUAACGGCCUACCAAGCCGACGAUCAGUAGCCGCCCUGAGAGGGUGACCGGCCACAUUGGGACUGAGACACGGCCCAAACUCCUACGGGAGGCAGCAGUGGGGAAUAUUGCACAAUGGGGGAAACCCUGAUGCAGCGACGCCGCGUGAGCGAUGAAGUAUUUCGGGAUGUAAAGCUCUAUCAGCAGGGAAGAAAAUGACGGUACCUGACUAAGAAGCACCGGCUAAAUACGUG
rnacentral:rRNA from 1 species